CAUUUUAACAAGGAUUUGCACUUUCAAAAGUAUAAUUGCAGAAGAAUCGAAGUGAAGAGAAACUAAAACUUAAAACUUUGGGGCUUCAUAAUAACAAAAAGAUAACAUUUUUCAACAGUUCAUAACAUAAAAAUAAUACCUUCGAACAGUACAUAACAUUUAAAAAGAAAACAAAAACAAAUCUUUGGACAGCAUAAAAC
rnacentral:lncRNA from 1 species